rnacentral:rRNA from 1 species
GACGAACGCUGGCGGCGUGCUUAACACAUGCAAGUCGAACGGCAAGGCCCUUCGGGGUACACGAGUGGCGAACGGGUGAGUCACACGUGGGUGAUCUGCCCUGCACUUCGGGAUAAGCCUGGGAAACUGGGUCUAAUACCGGAUAGGACCACUGCCUGCAUGGGUGGUGGUGGAAAGCUUUUGCGGUGUGGGAUGGGCCCGCGGCCUAUCAGCUUGUUGGUGGGGUGAUGGCCUACCAAGGAGACGAUGGGUAGCCGGCCUGUGAGGGUGACCGGCCACAUUGGGACUGCGUUACGGCCCAGAAUGCUACGGGAGGCAGCAGUGGGGAAUAUUGCACACUGGGCGCAAGCCCGAUGCAGCGACGCCGCGUGGGGGAUGGCGGCCUUCGGGUUGUAAACCUCUUGCAGCACCGACGAAGCGCAAGUGACGGUAGGUGCAGAAGAAGGACCGGCCAACUACGUGCCAGCGGCCGCCGUAA